AUUGAACGCUGGCGGCAGGCCUAACACAUGCAAGUCGGACGGUAGCACAGAGGAGCUUGCUCCUCGGGUGACGAGUGGCGGACGGGUGAGUAAUGUCUGGGGAUCUGCCCGAUAGAGGGGGAUAACCACUGGAAACGGUGGCUAAUACCGCAUAACGUCGCAAGACCAAAGGGGGGGACCUUCGGGCCUCUCACUAUCGGAUGAACCCAGAUGGGAUUAGCUAGUAGGCGGGGUAACGGCCCACCUAGGCGACGAUCCCUAGCUGGUCUGAGAGGAUGACCAGCCACACUGGAACUGAGACACGGGCCAGACUCCUACGGGAGGCAGCAGUGGGGAAUAUUGCACAAUGGGCGCAAGCCUGAUGCAGCCAUGCCGCGUGUAUGAAGAAGGCCUUCGGGUUGUAAAGUACUUUCAGCGGGGAGGAAGGCGAUAAGGUUAAUAACCUUGUCGAUUGACGUUACCCGCAGAAGAAGCACCGGCUAACUCCGUGCCAGCAGCCGCCGUAA
rnacentral:rRNA from 1 species